GAGGCACUGUGAAGAAAUAGCAGAAGGCAUAGCAGACUGUCUGCUUUGUCUUGUUACUAUAUCAUGAAAUAUGUUCAAGUUAGCAUGCUUUUGCUUGUUCUUAGGAAAUUAUCACCUAAAUUCACCUCUUAAAUUACAGCUUUUCAAGACAGCAUUGUGCUGUUGGAAAUGUUCCCAGAUAUAGCAGUAUCAGAGGGAGUGCUUGUAAAUCUGGAUUUUCUCAGAUCCCUGAUGGAUGGAAUUCAUUCUUAAUUGGACAUUCCUUAAAUUUAUAAAUUCACCAAAAUAAGCUACAAGUGGAACACUGCUCAAAGAUUGUUCAAUAAAGUCAUGCUGCAGCCAGCUGAGCUGCAUGAAAUCAUCAUUUGGAUUGAAGUAAAAAGCAGUAAACAUGAUUAAAUGGAUAUUAAAAGGAGUCUGAGGGAAGGAAAAGGGCACAAGCACCCAUAUAUCUCAUUACAGGGUAUCUGUAUCAACGAAGCCAGAAAAGCAGCUGUUGGAAUUGUCAGCAGAAAGCUCUUAAGUCAUGAUGUCUUUAUAUGAAACUGUGCAGUUAGCAUCUUGCUGUGAUAGUAUCAGCAACAGUUUUGAGCUUCAGCCAUUCUCUGGAGUUCAAGCUCCAUGCAAACCAGCUGAACUCUGUCUGUCCCUGUUGAGGAGGGAUACUAGAUACUUAGAUUGGCUUUUCUGCUGCAGUGUAAAAGAAUCUUACGAGUUCAUGGUUCAGGAAUGCUGCUAAGAAACCACAACAAGGGGCUAUGAACAAUUGCAGAUCCAGCUUCCCUAUGGAGAAAGGUGGGGGUGACCCACAACAGAACUGCUCCAGCAUUUGACUCAUCUGCCCCAAGAGCUGUAAAAGCAGCACAUUAUGUUGCUUGUUCCAGAGAACAUGGAAUUUCCUGGUGGCACCUGUAAUGGGCUGGGGCAAGUCUGACUCCUCCAGCCUUCCCUGGUAUUUGCAAGCUGUGUUGAGUGAUGCACGUGUGCUCCACUUGGUGCGGGAUGGGCAUUGGAUAAAGAAGUGGCUCCCAGCUAACACAGCUGUGUGCCACAGGUGUGCAGUUUUGCGAAGAACAGACCUCCAAAUUGUGCACGGGAAGGUGACAGAAAAACACCAAAGAAACCAAACUUCCAGUGUUUAAAGGAGGCCUUCAGGAAAGACUGGGAACAUCUCUUUAUCAAGGAGUAUAGUGGUAGGACAAAGGGCUAUGGCUCUAAACUAAAAGAGGGUAAGUUUAGAUUAGAUCUCAGGAAAAAAAUUCUGUACUCAGACAUUGGUGAGGCCCUGGCACUGCUGCCCUGAGCUGUGGGUACCCAUCCCUGGAUGU
ensembl:lncRNA